GAAUAGUAUGGAAGUUAGUAGAGUCAGUUAAGAAUUAGUUAGAGGUGGGAUCAGUUACUAUAGAGAUCUAAAGCUAUAUAAAUAACAGCUAUAUUGUAACUAGAAAAACUACUCAAUAUUUUCAAUGAAAUUCUCAUCCUUCUCUGCCUAAAUAUUAUUCUUUCUCUUCUUUUUUCUCUUCUUCUAUUCCUCUUUCCCUUUCUCUCUCUAUUUCCUAUAUAAUUUCUAAUCUUUCUAUGAUGGAGAAUCUAGUUACAUAACAAGUGGUAUCAAAGCCAUGUUCUGAACUGGGUUUGCUUCCAACCCUUUCUGCUAGAGUCGUAACCCUAAGCAAAUUCAUGAAAGUCUUUCAAAAUUCCAAAAUUCUAGGUUUUCCUCUAUUCUACUCUCUUUCUCUCUUCUUUCCCUGUAUUCCUUCUUUUCUUCUUCCCUAAAAUUUCUUCCCUUUCUUCCCUCU
rnacentral:misc_RNA from 1 species